rnacentral:lncRNA from 1 species
CCAAGGAACAAGAUUUUGGAGAGUCCUGUUUUGAGCCUGGGAUGGCCUUUACCCUGGCACUAUUGGACAGUGUGCUUGGUUUGGGGUACCCAGAGUUACCAGUUGACAGUGUUCCAGGGAACACGUGUCAUGGAGCACAGACAGCCUUGGCUCAGGUGGGUGACUUUGAAAAGGCACUGCAUGUGUCUGCGCUGAAUUUUUCCUUUUGCAUUUUUCUUUCCUCCUUGAAAGCAUGUUGGUUUCUCGAUAUCUGUUUUUAAUUUUUCAGGUCUGGCAAAGGUCAAGGUGGUGUAUUGCUUCUGGGAGGUAUGACCAUUCCUUGUCCUCAUAUCCAUCCACUGGGUGGAGCUCACUGAACAAAGUUACUGGCAAAUUGCUUUAAAAAAGAGGGUGUUGGUGGAAUGCUCUGGGAGGGCCUCUAUGUUCUUGGCUAAGUUGCAUAAAAUAAUUUAAGGACAUGCUGUUGAGUAGGUAAAGAGUUAAUUAAGAAACAAGAAAUGAGCUGAGCACACAAUCUGAGAUAUGGGUGUGGGCUGUGCUACAGGGUGAGAUGUGCAUGUGGGGCCCUAGGUUGGGCCUUUUUAGAGCCUUUCUUCCUCCCCUUUCUGAAUGCAGGGAGGGGCCCCAGCUAUUCUGGUUGGUUGCCUUAUGAUCCCGGCCUGUUAGAUCUCAGGGGACUGAUGGGAGGCCUAUUUGGACUUAUCUGGGGCUGCCCCUUGACCCCAGAAAGAGUUCCAAAUGGGACCUUGCAGCCAGGGUAGAGGCAGGUCCUUCCUGGCUUUGUUCUUAGGAGCAGGGGUUUCUGGGCGAGGUCUCCCAGCUGCCUUCCCUCUUUCCCUAUACUAACCUGCCUCAAGGGUAUGCAACUUUUCAAAGCCACAGAAACAGAUAUGUUUCUAUGUUUUUCCUGAGUUCUUUUGCAACAUUUAUUGCUCAUUGGCAUGAAUUUUCAGCACUGUCUCUUUCAGACAUGUCCAGGAAAUGCCUCAUAUAUCUGCUCCACUGCUAAAUUUAGUCAAAACUAUUAGCUGAUAAUGAAUUUAGAGUCUUGGGCUAUUGGGAACCUCCAGGAGUCUUAAGGACUCUUGCAGAAUCUUAGAGGCAGAGCAUAUGGGCCUUUAAAGCCAUAAACAUGUCUGUGGAAGUUCAGUUUUGGGUGAACUUAGGAAGACAUCUUAGUAGCAAAAUAUGAUACACUUCAACACUGGACAAAAUGGCUCCAUUGUUUUGUGAAGAUGUCUCUUCCUUGGGAAGUCAAACUUACUAGAGUUUGUUUGAACCCUCCCUUUAGGACCUAGGGAACCAACAAAAUUGAAAUAAGUGAUGAUUGGAUCUUAGUCAGACAAAGAGAAAUAAAUUCAUUCAAAAACAUUCAUAAAUGAUCAGCACAUGAAAGGUAAUGUGCUAGGUCUGCGGCGGCUGGUACACAAGUCCCAUGCCCUCAUAGAUGGCAUGGUCCAGGAGGGGACAUAGACAACACAUAUUUAUUAAGGUCCUGUUAUGUGUGUUGGAGAUAAGGGGUGCUUGCUGGCACAUGGAGACUGUUUGCAGGCAGAAAGUUUAUUGGGAAGCUCUGCCAACAAGGGGGUCUGAAAAAUAGACUCCACCCUGACAGCAUGGCAGGGGUCUGAAAAGAGACUUCAGCCCACUCCUGGAAAGGGGGCCGAGGUCUGAGUGAGGUACAUGGGCCAAUAGGAAGCCCUAGAGGUGAAGGUUUUCCCAGAUAUGUUCAGAGGGUAGUGGGGUAGGGGGUUGUGUUUUCUUGGAAUGCUGGAGGAGCAGGUGGUGCUUUGAUCGUUAGGGGGUGAAGGUCUGUAUCUCUUUUUACUCCCAUUUCCCUGUGGUUUCUUUGUUCAACCUUUGGGGAAGUGCUGUUCUUACAGACCCACAGGCUUAUGGCAGGUGGGGGUGGGGGUGGGGAGGCUUGUCUUUCCUCAAUGCAUGUCAGGCUUGUUAAUUAUUGCAAACCUAGUGAGAGGGGACCUUUAACAAUGCGUUAGGCACAAAAUCAGAUACACUGUCUUAUUUGGUGCUAUCACAGAACUUCAGUUCAAUAGGGAAUACGCUCUCAGAGAGGAGACAUAAGAGGCCAAGAGAUCCCAUUGGAGGUACCCUGACAUGGGAGACUGGGGAAAUCUUUCUAGAGAAAGAAACACCAAAGUCACAUCCUUAGGGAUGUAUAGGAGUUAGCUGGAUGGAGGCCGCUUUGGGCCUGACGUUUUCAACCAGAGGGAAAUCAAAGACCCUUCUUGGAUGGGGUGCAUGGCCACUGCUGGAACUGAAAUAAAGUUAGACUGGCUUGAAAGAAAGAGUGCAAAGGGAGGCUAGAAAAUGGUUGGGAGAAGAGGGGUGGGUGUAGUGAGAGGCGAGGCCAAGCAGGGGAGCAGAGGCCAGGGAUGUGAAAUCUAUGCCAUAAUAAGGAAAUUGAGCUCACUCUGAGGAGAGUGCUUAGCAAAGAUUAAAAAGUAGGGAAACAAAAUGAUGAGGUCUGUGGUUUUGAAAGUUCAUCCUGUCUGCAAUUCUAUGCAAUACGUUCUCCAAUGUAAAUUGUGCAACUGUGCAGAGAAUGCUUCUACAACUUAUUUAGGUAUGUAGAAGCAGGAUAUGGAGAUUUCAGAAAAGGUGGGUUGUGUCUGUUGAAGUCCGCAGCUUUGGGAACCCUGUAGCACCUCUGGCAGUAGCCACCUUCUUUGAAGUUUCUACCUUUUGUGCAUCCCUGAUAGGUUGUCUACUCAGAAGCCUGUGGCAUUUAGGGUGGAUACAAUCACCAUCCUCCACUUUGCAUAACAUAUUUAAGGCCCUCCUGCUACCCUGCAUCUUUGGCAAACUUUCUUUUGAUGUUUUUGUACAUGUUUCCCCUUAGUGUGAUAAUUCAAGGGUGAUUGAAUUUUGUCAUUAUGGUUGCCAAACCACUGUGGAUUCAGAUCCUUCUCUCAUCACUGGCCCCUCUUCACACAUUCAGAAGCUCCUGGCUUAUAUUUGUGCCACUGCCACAUCCUCUGGAAGGUGAGCCUAGGGCUAGGUGAAGGGAUCCACCUAAAGCUGGAAACUGGAGGCUCUUCCUCCUCUUUCUCUACCCAUCUGAGCUGUUUCAGGCCAAGUCCCACCUUAUGUGUGGUGACAUAAACUUGCUCUCUGGAGGCUCAGAAGCUUGAAUUCUGGUUCAGCCUGAUAGCUCUGUGAUCUUGGAAAAGCAGCAUGAGCCUUUCUGAGUUGCAGCUUCUCUAUCUGUAGGAUGGAAAUAAAAAAGACCUCCAUUGCAUGGUUGUUGCCAGACUAGCAGGUGCUCUAUAAAUAGCUCCAAAAAAACCCAGUAGGGUCAAGGGCAAAGCUGCCUACUUUAGUAGUGACCCUGAGGAGAAAACACGGUGGACACCUGCAGUAUAAUGAAAAAUCUUGGCUGGUCUUUGUCCUUAUUUCCUGGGAAAGCUACCCCUGAAUCUUUGGAAUUUCUUGUGGUAAGAGUGCCUU